UGUCUUUUUGAAAAUAAUAUAAAGUCUAAUCUGCCCACUGAUUUAAUAAUUGAAGGGCUGCAGUAUAUUGACUGUACAAAGGUAGCAUAAUCAUUAGUCAUUUAAUUGAUGACUUGUAUGAAGGAUUGGAUGAAAUAUAAACUGUCUCUUGAUUAAAUAUAGAAUUUAAUUUUUUAAUUAAAAAGUUAAAAUAAUUUAAAAAGACGAGAAGACCCUAUAGAGUUUUAUAAAUAAAUUAAUUAAGAUUAUUUAUUAAGUUAAAAUUGAAAUUGGAGUAUUUAUUAUAUUGGGGUGAUAGAAAAAUAUGGUUAACUUUUUUUUUAUAGGUAACAUAUAUAAGUGGUUAAAUGAUCCAAUAUUAUUGAUUAUAAGAAAAAAUUACCUUAGGGAUAACAGCGUAAUUUUUUUUUUUAGUUCAUAUAAGAAAAAGAGUUUGCGACCUCGAUGUUGGAUUAAGAUAAAAUUUAAAUGCAGAAG
rnacentral:rRNA from 2 species